UGUAGUCAUAUGCUUGUCUCAAAGAUUAAGCCAUGCAUGUCUAAGUAUAAGCAACUUGUACUGUGAAACUGCGAAUGGCUCAUUAAAUCAGUUAUCGUUUAUUUGAUAGUACCUUACUACAUGGAUACCUGUGGUAAUUCUAGAGCUAAUACAUGCUAAAAACCCCGACUUCAGGAAGGGGUGUAUUUAUUAGAUAAAAAACCAACGCCCUUCGGGGCUCCUUGGUGAAUCAUAAUAACUUAACGAAUCGCAUGGCCUUGCGCCGGCGAUGGUUCAUUCAAAUUUCUGCCCUAUCAACUUUCGAUGGUAGGAUAGUGGCCUACCAUGGUGGCAACGGGUAACGGGGAAUUAGGGUUCGAUUCCGGAGAGGGAGCCUGAGAAACGGCUACCACAUCCAAGGAAGGCAGCAGGCGCGCAAAUUACCCAAUCCCGAUACGGGGAGGUAGUGACAAUAAAUACUGAUACGGGGCUCUUUUGGGUCUCGUAAUUGGAAUGAGAACAAUUUAAAUCCCUUAACGAG
rnacentral:rRNA from 1 species